ACGGAAGCCCGGUGAGGCCUAGGUCGAUCCGGAAGAGAAGGUUCGAUCUCCCGACCCGGGCGCCUAAACACGGUUCCCGGCACCCACGCGGAGUCAUAGCCGCGAUAAUGGCAGAAGUGUUGCGGGCCUGCGUAAUUGCGAAGAAUGGAUGGUCGCGACGGCCCUUUGGGUGGGGCUGCAACCGGAAGUGUCGCAAGAUCGCCGAGGCCACCCACGCAGCCGAAGAAGUGCACGCAUGGUAACCGAGAUCCGUGUCGGCGGGCGGCGAUUCGAAACCCUCGAUCGCCGCCCGCUUUUUGCA
rnacentral:ncRNA from 1 species